GGCUGGAGAUGUUCAGAGACGAGGCUGUUCCGGUUUCCCUUGCAUGUAUUCCCAUCUAGGAACAAAAGCAGGAAAGGCCUCAUUGUACAAAACAUUGGCCAGUUUUAUUGAUGAUUGCUUCAGUGACCCGUUAUGUGACCCAGUAUUUUAAACGUGGAAGACUAGCGUAAUCAGGCAGACGAAAACGACAAAGUCCAACAAGAAAAAUACAAAAGCUUAUGGAAACACCUCUGUACAAGAUUGUAGAAUGGCGCAUGCGCAAUGGGGAUUAACAUCAACCGAAACAUUUACAAUGGACUUGAAUAGCCCAUAUCAAGGAAUAUAACUUUUUGUUUAAGUUACUGUAAAUAGGUCCAUUUUUCUUUUUUUUCUUUCAGAGAAAAACACAAAUGUAAAUAAAGAAAGAUAGUGGUUUCAUAAUGAGGAAUAUAAAAUAUUUUUUCAAAUGUUCAAGCACAUAAAUCCUAUAUAAGCAUUGCAAGAACGUGCUAAAGAAUUUCAAAUAUUUAAAAUCAAUCUAAUUUCUCCUUUGGGAAAUUGAUGAAAAUUGAUGCUUAAUAUUGGAGAUUACACAAAAUAUGUUUUUAAUUGAUAAUUUAAAUUAUGAAGCGGUAUUAUAGAACCCGUCCAUUUAUAACAAAAAAUAUACAUAUGCAGCCGUAGUAGAACUAUAUAAACUUAAGUUACUUUUAUUCCCUAUUAUGAAUGCACUGUUGUUACAUUUUGUUGAAAAUGUUCAUGGCCUUGACCUGUCUUCACAAUCGGACGUCACUAUUGUUUACUGUAUAUAGUUGUUAAGUUUGUAUUUAAAGCGUUUCGUUCUCUUUAGUUUUAAGAUGUAAUUGUCCUAUAUUAUGUGUAUGUUUAGUUAUUCCAAGUAGUCCGGUAUAAUGUAUUUUGUUAAGUUUUAUUUUUAAUUUUUUAUGCAUAGCUGCAUGACCCUAUAAAGUUUGAAUACUUCUCCUCAAACUAUUUCUACUUCCAAAUAAACGCUUGUUAUUCAACCAUAGAAAUUGAAAUAAAUUAUUCAUUUAUAAUACUGUUAUCUCAAAAAUAUCUUUCUCUUUAAUACGUAAUAAUAUCAGGAAAUUUAUAUUUUAUAGGUUUGAAUAAAUUAUCUUUUUUUGUAUAUUCUAUUAUUAAAAACUUAUUAAGUUUUUAUAAAGUAACAUAAAUGUUGACACGUUUUCUUUCUCUGUACGUGUCAAUGUUUCAAAAUGGCAUUCAAAUACUUGAUAUUCGGGAUUCUGAUUAGUUUCAUUAAUUAAAAAAAUAUUUUAUGACAUUUUGAAAUUGAUUGAAAAAAUGAUCUUGCAUCAGUUAAUGACGAAUGUAAGAACAUAUGUAAAAUUGACUAAAUCAUAAAGGCGUAUUUGAAACAUGCUGUUUAAUUUGGCAAUGUCGAAAAUUAAAAAACUUUAGUUCAUCAUGUUAUUGUGGUCAGACAUCCUUAUAAUUAGAUAAAUGAGAGGCUUUGUCGCGGGUUAAUAGAAUGAAUACUAUUUAAAGAAAUGCACAGCAACGUUCUAUAAAUAACAUACAUUUAACUUAAAUUUCAUGGAAGCGAACAAAACAGACAGUACUUAACAUAAAUCUUUUUUAUGUCUUGCGCUCCUUUCUAUCAAGUUAUUUUUAUUCAAAGAAGAUACAUUUACUUAUCAAAAUUUGAUUUAGAUAGUCUGUAUUCUCUAUACAGUUCUGUCAACUCAUCUUCAAAGAAGUCAGUACUAUACUUUGGAAGCAGAGUGCUGCAAGGUAAAUAGAAAAUGACAGACCAAAAUAUAACAACAAUCACAUUUCAAAUAGCUGUUUAUAUGACAUCAUUGGUAAUUUGAAAUAUAAUACAAACUGAACAAAUGAAGAUCGCCACUUUUGUUUUUUUGAAAUUUCGUGACAUUUUGUGCAAUGUAUUAGACACAAUCAAGAAAAAUGACAUUUUAUGUUAGCUGAAAUCUUGUUUAAAAAUUAAAUGUGACAUUUACAAUCAGUGUAAAGAGGUGUUUUUGUUUUGAAAAAUUGCUAACAUUAUUUUCUUUACCAUCUAUAUCAUGUAAUAUAUGUAACAUCUUAAAUAUAUGAAACAAAAUAAAAUCUGAUUUUUGGCAAUAUAAA